UUUAGGGAGGAAGAACCAACAGGGAUUGCCCUAGUAACGGCGAGUGAAGCGGCAAUAGCUCAAAUUUGAAAUCUGGCCCUCGUGGUCCGAGUUGUAAUUUGUAGAGGAUGCUUUUGGUGCGGUGCCUUCCGAGUUCCCUGGAACGGGACGCCAGAGAGGGUGAGAGCCCCGUACGGUUGGACACCUACCCUAUAUAUAGCUCCUUCGACGAGUCGAGUAGUUUGGGAAUGCUGCUCUAAAUGGGAGGUAAAUUUCUUCUAAAGCUAAAUACCGGCCAGAGACCGAUAGCGCACAAGUAGAGUGAUCGAAAGAUGAAAAGCACUUUGAAAAGAGGGUUAAAUAGCACGUGAAAUUGUUGAAAGGGAAGCGUUUGCGACCAGACCUUUUCCAGGGGGAUCAUCCGGUGUUCUCACCGGUGCACUUCCCCUGGUUUAGGCCAGCAUCGGUUUUCUUAGGGGGAUAAAGGCUUAGGGAACGUGGCUCUUUCGGGAGUGUUAUAGCCCUUUGCGUAAUACCCCUCGGGGGACCGAGGACCGCGCUCUGCAAGGAUGCUGGCGUAAUGGUCGUCAACGACCCGUCUUGAAACACGGACCAAGGAGUCGAACAUUUGUGCGAGUGUUUGGGUGUUAAACCCUCACGCGUAAUGAAAGUGAACGGAGGUGAGAGCCCUUACGGGUGCAUCAUCGACCGAUCCUGAUGUCUUCGGAUGGAUUUGAGUAAGAGCAUAACUGUUCGGACCCGAAAGAUGGUGAACUAUGCGUGGAUAGGGUGAAGCCAGAGGAAACUCUGGUGGAGGCUCGCAGCGGUUCUGACGUGCAAAUCGAUCGUCAAAUCUGCGCAUGGGGGCGAAAGACUUAUCGAACCAUUGAAACCAGCGGUAAAAUUUCAUUUACUAGGUGGUUAAGAGGUCCCCUGAGAGGGGGCCUAGGUUAUGUGCCAGUUUACCCUAUAGUUACCCUAUAGUUACCC
rnacentral:rRNA from 1 species